AGAGUUUGAUCCUGGCUCAGGAUGAACGCUAGCUACAGGCUUAACACGUGCAAGUCGAGGGGAAACGACAUCGAAAGCUUGCUUUUGAUGGGCGUCGACCGGCUACGGGUGAGUAACGCGUAUCCAACCUGCCCACCACUUGGGGAUAACCUUGCGAAAGUAAGACUAAUACCCAAUGAUAUCUCUAGAAGACAUCUGAAAGAGAUUAAAGAUUUAUCGGUGAUGGAUGGGGAUGCGUCUGAUUAGCUUGUUGGCGGGGUAACGGGCCCACCAAGGCAACGAUCAGUAGGGGUUCGUGAGAGGAAGGUCCCCCACCAUUGGAACUGAGACACGGUCCAAACUCAUACGGGAGGCAGCA
rnacentral:rRNA from 1 species